AACAGCCUGAAACAGGUAAAACAGGUCUGCAAAACCUUUAUUCAGCGGUUCAAAUCCGCUCGCCGCCUCCA
rnacentral:tRNA from 1 species